GCCUUAAAGAAGAAUGAAAUUGUGGCAUCUGUGGGUAAAUGGAUAGAACUGGAGAAUAUGCCAGGUUCUGAAAAAUACCAAGAUGAAUAAGAUGUACCUGGUUCUGUCCUCAAGGAGCUUAUGGCCAGUCUCUGCAAUUUUCAGACAGGAACACCAAAGGUAUCUCAAAGAAGUAUGUUAUAAGUGUUAAAGGAAGUGCCAGAUAAAGCAACUAAGGGUCAAGAAUGUGAAUAAGGAUAACUCUCAAUAAAGUCAAGAUGUAAAUGGAGCAGGCUUUUUAUAGGGGACUUAGAGGGUUAGCAGGGUGUCAGGAGGUACACAUGCUAGAAGCAAGAAUUCUAGGGAGAAGAAGAGGCUUCAACAGUUCUGCUUCUCUAGAAAACUGGGUUUUAAGUCAUAGCACUAUUGGCAUUUUGAGUCAGAUCACUUUUUGUUAUAGGCAGAGUCUAAUGUGUUGUUGAUUUGUAGCAAAAUUGUGACCUCCAACCACUAGAUGUCAGUGGCACAUCUGCCCCCAAUAAUGACAACCAAGAAUGUGUCCAGGAACUUCCAAGAGUUCCCUAGGCAAAAUUACCUUGGAUGAGAACUAUUGAUACAGAUACAUGCUAUUGGUGUAGGAGCAGGCUCCUGAUAAAAGAGUAAAUUCAGGAUCCUUCCUGUCUGCUGUGCUCACUUGUCCUUAGUCAUAUUAUGAUGUAGCAGGAAGGCCCUCACCAGAAGCCAGUGUCAUGCUCUCGGGCCUCCCACUCACAGGACUGUGAGCCAAGUAGACUUGUAUUGUUUACUAAUUACCCAAAUGUGUGUCACCAUGAUAUAGUGACAGAAAAUGGACUAAGAUACUUUAGUUUGAGAUUCAUCCUUGUUAUUGAGUGUGUCAAUAAUGGACUAUUCUGCUUCAUGGAUAUACCAGUUUGUUUACUCCUUUGUCUGCUGAUUGACAUUCAUUCACCUAUUGAUAAAUUCUGUUCAUUUUCUUGCUAUUAUAAGUAAAACUUAUGAACUAUUGUCUACAAA